UCUCCUAGUGAGGAGAACCUUGUCCAGUUCUGCUACUGAGGCAGAGUGACGACAGAACUUUUUCUGAAGAGA